UACGAAGGGGGCUAGCGUUGCUCGGAAUUACUGGGCGUAAAGGGCGCGUAGGCGGACAUUUAAGUCAGGGGUGAAAUCCCGGGGCUCAACCCCGGAAUUGCCUUUGAUACUGGGUGUCUUGAGUAUGAGAGAGGUAUGUGGAACUCCGAGUGUAGAGGUGAAAUUCGUAGAUAUUCGGAAGAACACCAGUGGCGAAGGCGACAUACUGGCUCAUUACUGACGCUGAGGCGCGAAAGCGUGGGGAGCAAACAGG
rnacentral:rRNA from 1 species